UAGAAUUUAGUGUGGUGGAAGCACUGGGAGUUUUGAGUUCCCUAGGGUGGGUUCAAAUUCCAUUAUUUUAA
rnacentral:tRNA from 1 species